GAGUUUGAUCAUGGCUCAGAUUGAACGCUGGCGGCAUGCCUUACACAUGCAAGUCGAACGGCAGCACGGGAGCUUGCUCCUGGUGGCGAGUGGCAAACGGGUGAGUAAUGCAUCGGAACGUAUCCUGGAGUGGGGGAUAACGUAGCGAAAGUUACGCUAAUACCGCAUAUUCUGUGAGCAGGAAAGCGGGGGACCUUCGGGCCUCGCGCUCUUGGAGCGGCCGAUGUCGGAUUAGCUAGUUGGUGAGGUAAAGGCUCACCAAGGCGACGAUCCGUAGCAGGUCUGAGAGGAUGAUCUGCCACACUGGAACUGAGACACGGUCCAGACUCCUACGGGAGGCAGCAGUGGGGAAUUUUGGACAAUGGGGGCAACCCUGAUCCAGCCAUGCCGCGUGAGUGAAGAAGGCCUCGGUU
rnacentral:rRNA from 1 species